AUUGAACGCUGGCGGCAUGCCUUACACAUGCAAGUCGAACGGCAGCAUGAUCUAGCUUGCCAGAUUGAUGGCGAGUGGCGAACGGGUGAGUAAUACAUCGGAACGUGCCCUGUAGUGGGGGAUAACUAGUCGAAAGAUUAGCUAAUACCGCAUACGACCUGAGGGUGAAAGUGGGGGACCGCAAGGCCUCAUGCUAUAGGAGCGGCCGAUGUCUGAUUAGCUAGUUGGUGAGGUAAAGGCUCACCAAGGCGACGAUCAGUAGCUGGUCUGAGAGGACGAUCAGCCACACUGGGAUUGAGACACGGCCCAGACUCCUACGGGAGGCAGCAGUGGGGAAUUUUGGACAAUGGGGGCAACCCUGAUCCAGCAAUGCCGCGUGUGUGAAGAAGGCCUUCGGGUUGUAAAGCACUUUUGUCCGGAAAGAAAUCGCACUUACUAAUAUUAGGUGUGGAUGACGGUACCGGAAGAAUAAGGACCGGCUAACUACGUGCCAGCCGCCGCAGUAAAAC
rnacentral:rRNA from 1 species